UGGGGAAUAUUGGACAAUGGGCGAAAGCCUGAUCCAGCCAUGCCGCGUGAGUGAUGAAGGCCCUAGGGUUGUAAAGCUCUUUCAACGGUGAAGAUAAUGACGGUAACCGUAGAAGAAGCCCCGGCUAACUUCGUGCCAGCAGCCGCGGUAAUACGAAGGGGGCUAGCGUUGUUCGGAAUUACUGGGCGUAAAGCGCACGUAGGCGGAUAUUUAAGUCAGGGGUGAAAUCCCGGGGCUCAACCCCGGAACUGCCUUUGAUACUGGGUAUCUCGAGUCCGAGAGAGGUGAGUGGAAUUCCGAGUGUAGAGGUGAAAUUCGUAGAUAUUCGGAGGAACACCAGUGGCGAAGGCGGCUCACUGGCUCGGUACUGACGCUGAGGUGCGAAAGCGUGGGGAGCAAACA
rnacentral:rRNA from 1 species